AGGGUUUGAUCAUGGCUCAGGAUGAACGCUGGCGGCGUGCUUAACACAUGCAAGUCGAACGAACCUUCGGGUUAGUGGCGGACGGGUGAGUAACGCGUGGGAAUCUGCCCUCAGGAGGGGGAUAACGGCUGGAAACGGCCGCUAAUACCCCAUAUGCCGAGAGGUGAAAUGAAUUUCGCCUGAGGAUGAGCCCGCGUCUGAUUAGCUAGUUGGUGAGGUAAGAGCUCACCAAGGCAUCGAUCAGUAGCUGGUCUGAGAGGAUGAUCAGCCACACUGGGACUGAGACACGGCCCAGACUCCUACGGGAGGCAGCAGUGGGGAAUUUUCCGCAAUGGGCGAAAGCCUGACGGAGCAACGCCGCGUGAGGGAUGAAGGCCUCUGGGCUGUAAACCUCUUUUCUCAAGGAAGAAGAUCUGACGGUACUUGAGGAAUAAGCCACGGCUAAUUCCGUGCCAGCAGCCGCGGUAAUACGGGAGUGGCAAGCGUUAUCCGGAAUUAUUGGGCGUAAAGCGUCCGCAGGCGGCCCUUCAAGUCUGCUGUUAAAACGUGGAGCUUAACUCCAUCAUGGCAGUGGAAACUGUUGGGCUUGAGUGUGGUAGGGGCAGAGGGAAUUCCCGGUGUAGCGGUGAAAUGCGUAGAUAUCGGGAAGAACACCAGUGGCGAAGGCGCUCUGCUGGGCCAUAACUGACGCUCAUGGACGAAAGCCAGGGGAGCGAAAGGGAUUAGAUACCCCUGUAGUCCUGGCCGUAAACGAUGAACACUAGGUGUCGGGGGAAUCGACCCCCUCGGUGUCGUAGCCAACGCGUUAAGUGUUCCGCCUGGGGAGUACGCACGCAAGUGUGAAACUCAAAGGAAUUGACGGGGGCCCGCACAAGCGGUGGAGUAUGUGGUUUAAUUCGAUGCAACGCGAAGAACCUUACCAGGGUUUGACAUCCUGCGAAUCUCUUGGAAACGAGAGAGUGCCUCCGGGAACGCAGUGACAGGUGGUGCAUGGCUGUCGUCAGCUCGUGUCGUGAGAUGUUGGGUUAAGUCCCGCAACGAGCGCAACCCACGUCUUUAGUUGCCAGCAUUUAGUUGGGCACUCUAGAGAGACCGCCGGUGAUAAACCGGAGGAAGGUGUGGAUGACGUCAAGUCAUCAUGCCCCUUACAUCCUGGGCUACACACGUACUACAAUGCUACGGACAAAGAGCAGCAAGUUCGCGAGGACAAGCAAAUCUCAUAAACCGUGGCUCAGUUCAGAUCGUAGGCUGCAACUCGCCUACGUGAAGGAGGAAUCGCUAGUAAUCGCAGGUCAGCAUACUGCGGUGAAUACGUUCCCGGGCCUUGUACACACCGCCCGUCACACCAUGGAAGUUGGCCACGCCCGAAGCCGUUACUCCAACCCUUGUGGAGGAGGACGUCGAAGGUGGGGCUGAUGACUGGGGUGAAGUCGUAACAAGGUAACCGUA
rnacentral:rRNA from 1 species